GGGUAAACCUGAGAAACCCAAAAGAUCGAAUGGGGAGAUUCAUCGUCAACGGUGCUGGCUCCCGUUUGUGCGCGAUGCUCCGAAUGGGCUCUCGUGGUUCCAUGGCGAGAGCACGCCACUUUCGGCCUGAACGUUCCGGCACCGUAGUCGUGCACUUCUCCCCUAGUAGAACGUCGCGACCCGUUGCGUGUCGGUCUACGGCCCGAGCGGGCGCCUGCCGCGGCGCAUUACGCGCACACGGCAGACCCUCGGUUGCCCGGCCGACUGCGCGACGGUACUCACACGGUAUCGGGCCGCAACCAAUCCAUUCUCGAAUGUGUUUGCGUCAGGCCCGCCGCAAGCUCGGGCAGUUUUACCCGGAGGUACGGACCUGGUGCCGUCCCCGGGCCUGACCAGCUGUUAGCAGGCGGUGUCCUCGGACUGGCCAAGCUUCGAAUUACCGGUCGGCGACGCUCCUGCUUUGGGUACUCUCAGGACCCGUCUUGAAACACGGACCAAGGAGUCUAACAUGUGCGCGAGUCAUUGGGAUGCAUAAACCUAAAGGCGCAAUGAAAGUAAAGGUCGGCCUACGCGUCGACCUAGGGAGGAUGGGCCGCGUUACGAUGCGGCCCCGCACUCCCGGGGCGUUUCGUUCUCAUUGCGAGAAGAGGCGCACCUAGAGCGUACACGUUGGGACCCGAAAGAUGGUGAACUAUGCCUGGUCAGGACGAAGUCAGGGGAAACCCUGAUGGAGGUCCGUAGCGAUUCUGACGUGCAAAUCGAUCGUCGGAACUGGGUAUAGGGGCGAAAGACUAAUCGAACCAUCUAGUAGCUGGUUCCCUCCGAAGUUUCCCUCAGGAUAGCUGGCACUCGCUCGUUCCUCCGUGAACGCGUGCGAGUCUCAUCUGGUAAAGCGAAUGAUUAGAGGCCUUGGGGCCGAAACGACCUCAACCUAUUCUCAAACUUUAAAUGGGUGAGAUCUCUGGCUUGCUUGGAUUAUGAAGCCACGAGAUUUUGGAUCAGAGUGCCAAGUGGGCCAAUUUUGGUAAGCAGAACUGGCGCUGUGGGAUGAACCAAACGCAGAGUUAAGGCGCCUAAGUCGACGCUUAUGGGAUACCAUGAAAGGCGUUGGUUGCUUAAGACAGCAGGACGGUGGCCAUGGAAGUCGGAAUCCGCUAAGGGUGGUUGUAACAA
rnacentral:rRNA from 1 species